rnacentral:rRNA from 1 species
AACGAACGCUGGCGGCGUGGAUAAGACAUGCAGGUCGAACGGGACAGACCGAGUAGCAAUAUUUGGAAUGUUCAGUGGCGAACAGGUGCGUAACACGUGGAUAACAUUCCGGAAAGCGGGGAAUAGCCCAGGGAAACUUGGAUUAAUACCGCAUGUGGCCGCAAGGCUUAAGACGGGGACCGCAAGGCCUGUCACUUUCCGAGUCGUCCGCGGCCUAUCAGCUAGUUGGCGGGGUAAUGGCCCACCAAGGCUACGACGGGUAGCUGGGCUUAGAGGACGACCAGCCACACUGGAACUGAGACACGGUCCAGACACCUACGGGUGGCAGCAGUCGAGAAUCUUUCACAAUGGGGGCAACCCUGAUGGAGCGACGCCGCGUGGAGGAUAAGGUCUUCGGAUUGUAAACUCCUGUCAUGCGAGAACAAGGUACUCAGGCUAAUAACCUGAUUGUUUGAUGGUACCGCAAGAGGAAGAGACGGCUAACUCUGUGCCAGCCGCCGCGGUAAAAC